rnacentral:tRNA from 1 species
GGAGGAGACAGCUCAAGUGGUAGAGCGCAUGCUUAGCACGCAUGAGGUCCUGGGUCCCAUCCCCAGUACCUCUG